rnacentral:rRNA from 1 species
UGGAUUAGUGGCGAACGGGUGAGUAACACGUGAGUAACCUGCCCUUGACUCUGGGAUAAGCCUGGGAAACUGGGUCUAAUACCGGAUAUGACCUUCCAUCGCAUGGUGGUUGGUGGAAAGCUUUUGUGGUUUUGGAUGGACUCGCGGCCUAUCAGCUUGUUGGUGGGGUAAUGGCCUACCAAGGCGACGACGGGUAGCCGGCCUGAGAGGGUGACCGGCCACACUGGGACUGAGACACGGCCCACACUCCUACGGGAGGCAGCAGUGGGGAAUAUUGCACAAUGGGCGCAAGCCUG